rnacentral:rRNA from 1 species
UACGUAGGGGCCUAGCGUUGUCCGGAUUUAUUGGGCGUAAAGAGCUCGUAGGUGGUUCGGCAAGUCAGUUGUGAAAUCUCCGCGCUCAACGCGGAGGGGUCAGCUGAAACUGCUGUGACUUGAGUCUGGUAGGGGAGUGUGGAAUUCCCGGUGUAGCGGUGAAAUGCGCAGAUAUCGGGAGGAACACCAGUGGCGAAGGCGGCACUCUGGGCCAGUACUGACACUGAGGAGUGAAAGCGUGGGGAGCGAACAGG